UCUGGUGUCAGCCGCCGCGGUAAAACCAGCACCUCAAGUGGUCAGGAUGAUUAUUGGGCCUAAAGCAUCCGUAGCCGGCUCUGUAAGUUUUCGGUUAAAUCUGUACGCUCAACGUACAGGCUGCCGGGAAUACUGCAGAGCUAGGGAGUGGGAGAGGUAGACGGUACUCGGUAGGAAGGGGUAAAAUCCUUUGAUCUAUUGAUGACCACCUGUGGCGAAGGCGGUCUACCAGAACACGUCCGACGGUGAGGGAUGAAAGCUGGGGGAGCAAACCGGAUUAGAUACCCGGGUAGUCCCAGCUGUAAACUAUGCAAACUCAGUGAUGCAUUGGCUUGUGGCCAAUGCAGUGCUGCAGGGAAGCCGUUAAGUUUGCCGCCUGGGAAGUACGUACGCAAGUAUGAAACUUAAAGGAAUUGGCGGGGGAGCACCACAAGGGGUGAGGCCUGCGGUUCAAUUGGAGUCAACGCCAGAAAUCUUACCCGGAGAGACAGCAGAAUGAAGGUCAAGCUGAAGACUUUACCAGACAAGCU
rnacentral:rRNA from 2 species